UCUUCCUGCCUUCCCUUCUCCAGGGUUGAGAUUAUGAGUGUUAGCUACUAUGCCUGUCAUUUUAAACAUGGGUUUUAGAGAUAAAACUCAGCUCCCUACACUCAGAAGACAAACACUUUAUCAACUGAAUCAUGUCCUCAGUCUGUGGUCACUCCAAGAAGAACUUCCAUCAGGCACAUGCCAUGAGCCUUUUGGAAGAGUGGGACCAUUGCUUCAUUCAUGUCUGACCACCAGUUCCUCCCCUCUGAUACUAUUCAUAGGCUUGUAGGGUCAAUGGGGAAACUUGGAGGAAGGGAAGCUGUGGGAACCAGAAUUUGCCUAUGACUAAUCUUUGAUCUUCCAUUGAAAUUGACUCUUGAGGAAGCUCUUUGAAAAACCUAAGAUCAGGUUUGUCUCUUUCUACUUCAGUGAAUUUCCCAAUGUGCCACGGAGAACAAUGGAGUCAAAGUGUCUAGUGGUGUGUGGAUAAUGAUGAGUGUCAUUCGAAUUAAACACACACACACACACACACACACACACAAUUUUCAUUGGCAAAAUAAAUAAAAUUCUACCUCUUUAACAUAAAAUGGUCAAAUGUAUAGUAGUUGGAAAUGGCCAGACUUUGUUUCUGAAUAUCAGCCCCCUAUGCAUCCAUCAGUCCCCCUUGUAAAGUAUUGUGAUAUGUUCACCUGGGUCUUGCCUUCCUGCCCUUGGACCAAGAAAUGAGUGAGCUUUCAGACUCUUCUGUCUUCAGUCAACCGGGUCUCUAAUCUUGACCCAUCCGUUCCAUAACCCUAAUGGAGACAGGUUGUCAAUGUGUCUAGAAUAAACAGUUUCAUGCAGGGGAGUUGAGGACUAGAUUAUCAGAGACAAAGAAUGAGUAACCAGAGAGGCCAGAGGAGUGUCUUUGGUGACAAUGAGGUGUGUGUGGGGGGGGGAGGAGCAGAGAGAAGGGGAUAUUGCAGAGAACAAAUGGGCUAGAGUUGUUCCUCAGGAAAAAAUUCUCUAUGUAAGAUCUGUAUCUUCUGCCCAUCUAUGGUGAUGAGUUUCUCAUUGUAUAUAAUAAUUAACUUUUCAAUUUUACAUGUUAUCCUAAAGAGUGAUUGAAAGUAAACAAAAACAAAACUUAAAGACCCAAUUUUUAAAAAAUGCCCACAGUAAAAGAAUUAAGCAUCCAGAUGACUAACCAAUAACCGACCCAAUUUGAGACCCAUCCUGUGGGCAAGCACCAAUCCCUGAUACUAUUAAUGAUACUCUGUUAUGCUUGCAAACAAGAGUCUAGCAUGGCUGUCCUUUGAGAGGCUCCAUCCAGAAGCUGACUCAGAUAGAUGAGACACCCACAGGCAAACAGCGGGUGAAGCUGGGGGACUCUUAUGGAAGAGCUGGGGGAAGGAUUUUGGGCCGUGAAGGGGAUCGGAACUCCACAGGAAGUCUAAUAGAGUCAACUAGCCUGAACCCUUACGACUCUCAGAAACCGAAGCAUUAGCCUAGCCCUCUCCUUCAUAUCUGCUACAUAUGUGGAUUCUGAAUAACUGGAGCAGGAGUUAUCCC
rnacentral:lncRNA from 1 species